AAGAGAUAUUUUGUCGAUUGACGAAUUCUCCACCCCAUGAUAUUUUUUAUGCCGAAAAACGAUUUUAGCUUCGGCAGGACAGUUUUUUGGGUUAGAGAUAAUCCAAAAACGAUUGACAGUUUUGAAAGGACUGUUGAUUAGUUUGCCUGCCGUUAGCAUAAAAUUACCCAAACUCUUGAUAAUUUAUUUAUUGUCUGAUUUGAAUUAUUAAAUAAAUCA
rnacentral:misc_RNA from 1 species